rnacentral:miRNA from 9 species
UUGGAAGUUCACAUGGAUGUAGC